rnacentral:rRNA from 1 species
GAUGCACGCUGGCGGCGUGCCUAAUACAUGCAAGUCGAGCGAACGGACGAGAAGCUUGCUUCUCUGAUGUUAGCGGCGGACGGGUGAGUAACACGUGGAUAACCUACCUAUAAGACUGGGAUAACUUCGGGAAACCGUAGCUAAUACCGGAUAAUAUUUUGAACCGCAUGGUUCAAAAGUGAAAGACGGUCUUGCUGUCACUUAUAGAUGGAUCCGCGCUGCAUUAGCUAGUUGGUAAGGUAACGGCUUACCAAGGCAACGAUGCAUAGCCGACCUGAGAGGGUGAUCGGCCACACUGGAACUGAGACACGGUCCAGACUCCUACGGGAGGCAGCAGUAGGGAAUCUUCCGCAAUGGGCGAAAACCUGACGGAGCAACGCCGCGUGAGUGAUGAAGGUCUUCGGAUCGUAAAACUCUGUUAUUAGGGAAGAACAUAUGUGUAAGUAACUGUGCACAUCUUGACGGUACCUAAUCAGAAAGCCACGGCUAACUACGUG